GGAAGGAUCAUUAACAUAUUCCUUUCACGCGUCUUGAGAAGGCGUUAACCGAUCCCCUCACGGAGGUUGGGACACGCUUCUCUCAUUUAAGAGACACAAAAAUUUAUACCUUUGACAUCAACCAUCAGUUCUCUUGUAAAGAGUCCUGUUUUCAACCAUAUUCAUAUAAUUGAAAAACAACUUUUAACAAUGGAUCUCUUGGCUCUUGCAACGAUGAAGAACGCAGCGAACUGCGAAACGUCAUGUGACCUGCACUCUUCGUGAAUCAUCCAAUCUUUGAACGCACUUUGCACCUCGUGGCUUCUGUCACCAGGUAUACUUGUUUGAGUAUCCAUAACUCUCUCUACUCCCCUUCGGGGCGAGUGGGAUCACGUGAGAUUCGAUGAGCGCUUCGGCGCAAGUCGUCUCUUAAAACAAGAAGCGUCUCCUCUCUUUCGAGAGAGAGCCAUACCUCUGUCCGGCUGGACACCUUCAGGAGGAUUGGGAUAACAUCCUAACAAUCUUCCCGGUGUCACUCUAAGGCAUCGACCUUGGUAUGCGCUGAUGCAAUCGGUUUGUUUAGGCGACCUUGGACACCUGUUAUGGGUGCACCAAGACCUUUUCUCGCGGAAAGGCCUGCUUAGACUUUACUCAAGGAUCUCAAAUCAAGUAAGGAUACCCGCUGAACUUAAGCAUAUCAGUAAGCGGAGGAAAAGAAACUAACAAGGAUUCCCCUAGUAACGGCGAGUGAAGCGGGAAGAGCUCAAAUUUGAAAUCUGGCGUCCUUGGGGCGUCCGAAUUGUCAUUGAGAGGGUCUUCUUUGGAAGACGGCUUGGGUCAAAGUUCUCUGGAAAGGGACAACAAAGAGGGUGACAUUCCCGUUUGGAUCCAGGUCGAUCAACCGUAUAAAGUUGGCUCUAAGAGUCGGAUUGUUUGGGAAUGCAGUCCAAAAUGGGUGGUACAUUUCAUCUAAAGCUAAAUAUUGGCAAGAGACCGAUAGCGAACAAGUACCGUGAGGGAAAGAUGAAAAGCACUUUGAAAAGAGAGUGAAAUAGUACGUGAAAUUGUUAAAAGGGAAACGAUUGAGACCAGUGAUGUCGUGUGUCCUUGAGCCUUUCUCUCGGGAAAGGUGUUUGGGCAUGCGACGCGUCGACGCUCCUUGUGGGUCCUGGAUAAGACACGGGGAAAGGUGGCUCUACCUUCGGGUAGCUGCUUUACAGUCCCUGUGGGAUACAGGAUGCACGAGGAGACAGGUAGGCUCGCAAGAGUCACGUCGACGAAAUGGUCUUAAACGACCCGUCUUGAAACACGGACCAAGGAGUCUAACAACUAUGCGAGUAUUUGAGUGGCAAACUCGAAUGCGUAAAGAAACUGAACGCGUGGGACGGAUCUUCUUACGGGAAGGUCUUGCACCAUGGGCCGGUCCUUGUCUUUGACUUGGAUUGCGCUAGAGCAUAUCUGUUGGGACCCGAAAGAUGGUGAACUAUGCCUGAAUAGGGUGAAGCCAGGGGAAACUCUGGUGGAGGCUCGUAGACAUUCUGACGUGCAAAUCGAUGUUCAAAUUUGGGUAUAGGGGCGAAAGACUAAUCGAACCAUCUAGUAGCUGGUUCCCUC
rnacentral:misc_RNA from 1 species